rnacentral:rRNA from 1 species
UAAGGAAUAUUGGUCAAUGGAGGGAACUCUGAACAAGCCAUGCCGCGUGCAGGAAGACGGCCCUCUGGGUUGUAAAUUGCUUUUAUUCGGGAAUAAACCACAUUACGUGUAGUGUGCUGAAUGUACCGAAGGAAUAAGGAUCGGCUAACUCCGUGCCAGCAGCCGCGGUAAUACGGAGGAUCCAAGCGUUAUCCGGAUUUACUGGGUUUAAAGGGUGCGUAGGCGGCUUAUUAAGUCAGGGGUGAAAGACGGUGGUUCAACCAUCGCAGUGCCCUUGAUACUGAUGAGCUUGAAGAGACUAGAGGUAGGCGGAAUGUGACAAGUGGCGGUGAAAUGCAUAGGUAUGUCACACAACACCGAUUGCGAAGGCAGCUUACUAUGGUCUGGAUUGGCACUCAGGAACGGAAGCGUGGGGAGCAAACA